rnacentral:rRNA from 1 species
AUUGAACGCUGGCGGCAUGCCUUACACAUGCAAGUCGAACGGCAGCACGGGUGCUUGCACCUGGUGGCGAGUGGCGAACGGGUGAGUAAUACAUCGGCACAUGUCCUGUAGUGGGGGAUAGCCCGGCGAAAGCCGGAUUAAUACCGCAUACGAUCUACGGAUGAAAGCGGGGGACCGUCGGGCCUCGCGCUAUAGGGUUGGCCGAUGGCUGAUUAGCUAGUUGGUGGGGUAAAGGCCUACCAAGGCGACGAUCAGCAGCUGGUCUGAGAGGACGACCAGCUGCGCUGGAACUGGGACACGUCCAAGACUCCUACGGGAGGCAACAGUGUGGAAUUCUGGACAAUGGGCGCGAGCCGUAUCCAGCGAUACCGCGUGGGUCUAGACGGCCUUCGGGUUGUAAAGCCCUUUUGUUGGGAAAGAAAAGCAGCUGCCUGAUACCCCGCUCCUAUGACGGUACCCAAUGGAUAAGCACCGGCUAACUUCGUG